GCCCUCCUGUGGCGUCAGUGUGGGUCAGUGUGUCUGGCUGUUAACCAGAAGGUUGGGGGUUUGAGCCAACCCAGGGACG